rnacentral:rRNA from 1 species
CGGCGUGCUUAACACAUGCAAGUCGAACGGAGUUAAGCGCUGGAUUGAUGGCAGCUUGCUGCUGGAUUUCCUUGCUUAACUUAGUGGCGGACGGGUGAGUAACGCGUGAGUAACCUGCCCUUGAGUGGGGAAUAACGUUCUGAAAAGAACGCUAAUACCGCAUAACACAUAGUGACCGCAUGAUCAUUAUGUCAAAGAUUUAUCGCUGAAGGAUGGACUCGCGUCCGAUUAGCUUGUUGGUGAGGUAACGGCUCACCAAGGCGACGAUCGGUAGCCGGACUGAGAGGUUGAACGGCCACAUUGGGACUGAGACACGGCCCAGACUCCUACGGGAGGCAGCAGUGGGGAUAUUGCGCAAUGGGGGGAAACCCUGACGCAGCAACGCCGCGUGGAGGAUGACGGUUUUCGGAUUGUAAACUCCUUUUAUGGGGGACGAACUAAGACGGUACCCCAUGAAUAAGCUCCGGCUAACUACGUGCCAGCAGCCGC